CUUUAUUUGACUGAUGCAUCUGUAAAUACUACUAUAUUGCACUUUCUAAUGAUAAAAUGUCUUAUAACAAAAACAAGCUGACAAACAACAAAAUAUCACAUUCUAGUUAAACCUUCCUAUUAGGCAAAGUUCUCACAUAUAUAUAACAUUAACCUACAGUAGUAUUUUUUUACAAGUGAACAGACAUGCGACUAUUUGGAUGAAAUCAUGAGCAAUAUUUCAUGGUGUUGUUACAAAUGGUUGAUAAAUGUACAGUGAAAUAUUCUGUGAUUCAGAUCUUCGAAUGAUAUUCAUACGUUUUAUUGACAGUCAUUUUUAAAUAACAACUUAUUAGAUGAAUGAAAUAAAAAAAAAAACUACAUACAAACAUUGUAAAAAGGGAAAUCAUCUCUCUGACAUAAACACAUAUGAUUUAAAUGGACUAUAAAUUACAUCUAUAUACCAGUGAGGUUAGAACAUGUUUGAUAUAUGUCAGUUUUGCAGUUGUCAUGAAUAGUACUUAGUUCGAGCAAUUGUUUGUUCAUGCUUUAAUAAAUUUUUGGUUUAUGACAGACUUCUGGUUAACUUCUGAAGUAAAUAAAGUUGGAUUUUCAAUAAUUUCUGGAACUCAAGAAGUUGCAAUAUACAUUUGUGACCUUACUCUCCCUAAAGAAUUACAUUUAAGUUUAUUUGUCUGAUAAUGUCUGCAUUAUUUGACCAGCAGAUAAUUUCAAACAGACAAUUCUGCCAUUAUCAGGGUUCUUGUUAAGGAUUUUUGAAGGCGAGUCCAGGGACUCGUCAUUUUUGGCCAUGGUGAGUCCAACAGCAAAGAGAAGAUAUUUAAUUGCAAUAUAAUGUAAUAUUUAAGUCUCCAUGCCCUAACAGAGCAAUGAAAUGACAUUAAAUUCAGAUUACUUUUAAACUUUUGCUAUAAAAUGAUGAUAUUUG
rnacentral:lncRNA from 1 species